rnacentral:rRNA from 1 species
UUCCAGCUCCAAUAGCGUAUAUUAAAGUUGUUGCAGUUAAAAAGCUCGUAGUUGAAUUUCGGGACCAAUAUGUCGGUCGUACUUUGUACGUACUAGCAUUAUUGGUUUCUCCCUUCUGAAGAACCGCGAUGUCAUUAAUUUGGUGUCGUGGGGAAUCAGGACUGUUACUUUGAAAAAAUUAGAGUGUUUAAAGCAGGCUCGCGCUUGAAUACAUUAGCAUGGAAUAAUGAAAUAGGACGUUUGAUUCUAUUUUGUUGGUUUCUAGGAUCGACGUAAUGAUUAAUAGGGAUAGUUGGGGGCAUUAGUAUUCAAUUGUCAGAGGUGAAAUUCUUGGAUUUAUUGAAGACUAACUACUGCGAAAGCAUUUGCCAAGGAUGUUUUCAUUAAUCAAGAACGAAAGUUAGGGGAUCGAAGACGAUCAGAUACCGUCGUAGUCUUAACCAUAAACUAUGCCAACUAGGGAUCGG